CUGGAGUCCAUGGGAGUUUUGCUGUUGCCUUCAAAAUAGAAUAAAUGAAUAUUUAGCUAUUUCCAUGUUCCUAAACACUGACUCACUGGAUAUCCAAGAACUGGAUGGCACAAUGGAGGAGAUAACGAAUGACAGGGAUUAUGACCUACUGGACAAAACUGAAACUUUGUGGAUGGAGUCCUGUUCCUAGAAAGGAGAGAAUAAGGCAGAGGGAGCUGUACAUCCUGUUGACUCAACUCUGAACCUGCAUGCUGCAAUCUAGAGAAAACAUCUGGAUAAAAUUACAAACGAGAGCGUUAAGUUACCGAAUAACACAUCUUCCUAGCAAGUCCACAUUCAAACUUUGGCUAUACAAUUUGUAGAUUGAUUAGACAUUUUAUUAUUAUUUUAUGGGGCAGUUCAAGAAAAAAAAGUCAGUCUGCUUGGAAUUUUUACAAGAAAAUAGCUAAUAAAAACAUAUUAAACUUUUGGCAAUGCCAGAAGUUUGUACUGUGUAUGGGAGCAUGAAGAUGUGAGCUACAGCACUGGUUCAGUGCAUCAGUCACUGUGAUUAUAAUGUUAAUGUCUGAGCGGUUACACUUGGAUAUGAGUGUCUGGACAGAAUUCAAGAUCUCAAGAAGAGUUUUUCUGUUUCCCAGUGGCAGCUGCUGUCCAAAUCAAACCACUUUUUUUUGGGUAGCAACAUUUAUAUCAUACCAAGGUGGAAUUAGAAUGUUUAAGGCAGGAGAAGUCAGGUUCAGUUUUAAAUGUAUGACUAUUCUAUCUG